rnacentral:rRNA from 1 species
UACGGGGGGGGGCAAGCGUUGUUCGGAAUUACUGGGCGUAAAGGGUUUGUAGGUGGCUUGUUAAGUCAGACGUGAAAUCCCUCAGCUUAACUGGGGAACUGCGUCUGAGACUGGUGAGCUUGAGUGCAGGAGAGGAACGCGGAAUUCCAGGUGUAGAGGUGAAAUUCGUAGAUAUCGAGGGGAACACCGGUGGCGAAGGCGGCGAUCUGGACGAUGACUGACGCUGAGACGCGAAAGCGUGGGGAGCAAACAGG